UCAAAAUGCCUGCAUUGCAUGCUAAUUAGCUGUUGUGCGUAAUUGGCUCAGAAUUAAAUGUGGCGGAGCAGUGUUACGCUGCCUUGCAGGAAGUACUGCCUUCCAGUCCUCGCUGGGGGAACAAAAGUCCCUAGUGCCGAUGCGUCGCUGUUCUGUCCGUAUUUUAUGUUAAAUAGCACCCCCUGCUGAGGACUUUUAGUUUGGCAGCCUUUGUCUUCCCCUUGCUAGGGCAAACCAGGAAAUAGCUUAGUCUGAUACUCCAACUGCCACGCUUUGCUGUGUAAAGUUAUCUGGUGCAAUUCUGUUUGUUUACUCUAUCGAAAGCAUCGUCUAAUCGUAGUUGAUAUGAGCUGAUUAGAAGAAGUUUGGUGCCUGACUUCUCUUUGAUGCCCAUCAGCCAUUUGACAAUACCAUCUGAGCCAUUGGCCCCACAGCCUGCUGUAGUAGAGUGUAAUGCUGUCUUAACCUGUCUUAUUAGCCAUUCAGCCUUCAGAACUGCAUCCUUCAGGGCUACAGCCCCCAGCACUGCAGUCUCCUGCACUUACACUAACAACCAGACAGCCUCCUGCCCCUGCCUCUUCUGCCUUACAACAACCAGCAAAAGAGCUUUGUGCACUGCACCCUCCUGUCAUUGCACUGUCCGCCCUACAGCCUAUAGCACUGCACCCUCUAACUCUUCAGCCCCCUACACUGCACACUUUUGCAGUACAGCCUCCUGUACUGUCUCCUAGUCUUCAGCUCUACAAACCUCCUGCAUUGCACCCUGCUUAACCAUCAGACCUGCAGCUUUAGACACCUCUACAGUCAGCCCCACUGCCUCAGACACCAGCACCAUCAACUGUACAGUGUCAGAUUCCUACACUUUUAGCUCUACAGCAUCAUGUACUUGCACCAUCAGCCCUACAGCCUGAAGUACUUCAACUUCCUGCACCAUCAUCCCCACAGCCUCUAGAGCUUCAGCCUUCUGCACUUCCAGCUCCACAGCCUCUAGAUUUUCAGCCUCCUGCACCAUCAGCUCCACAGCCUCUAGAGCCUCCUGUGCCAUCAACUCCACAGCCUCUAGAGCUUCAGCCUCCUGCACCACCAGCCCUACAGUCUACUGCGCUGGAGAGUCCAGCACCUGCACUAUGGCUUCCAGCACCUGCACUAUGGCUUCCAGCACCUAGUACCACCAUCCCCAGAUCCUCUGACUGUCUUUGCAAAUACCAUGGAACCUGUCCUGAUUCCAGUAGAAAAUAAAGACAACAAAAGAUGCAAAGAGAACAAAAGAAAGAAGACAGGGCAAUAUGGAGGUAUUGGUUCGCUGGAAACCGUGCUCUGGAUGUUGUAUUAGAUGGAGCAACAGCUGGAAAGCCUACAAAGAAUUCUGUAGCGUCACUGACUGCUCUGUGUCCAAUGGGAAAACACUGCAGCAGGUGGGAAAACUGCCCACUCCAUCACUAGGUCAAGUUUUCCUUCCUUCAAGACCAUCUACAAUGAACAGUGUAUAUAAAGAAUGCUUGCUUUAUGGAGAAAGAUCCCUUUUACACCCUGCAUGGAGUGUUCUUAUCCCUGCUAUCUGGAAGCAAACUAUGGAGUCUUCCCGACAGGUCAACAUUUACUUCCUGUUAAACAGCUGCACAGUUCUACCUGGUGAAUCGUGUCUACAACUAGUCACUUUACAAGAGAGACAGUUUUUUUUUUUUUUUCUUGCAUGGACAAGACACUGUGUAUGCAUACACACUGUUUGAGCUCUGACAGUGUUCACUGCUGCUAGGACUAAGUUUACAGCUUAUACUUUUGAAUAACAACUACAGUGGUCAUCAUUUCUGCAAAAUUCAAGGACUGCACAUAUGACUUCAGUCUUGUUAUCUAUGAUUGUUCUUAUUGUCUGAUGUCCUGUCCUUAAUGUUUGCAUAGUUUAUUGUAUGGUGUGGAUUAUAGUAUAUUGUGGUUUAUAGUUUGAGUGUAUGUAUAAUAUUUAUUGCGUUCUGUACUAUUAGCCACCUCUGCUGUUCUUCUGUGCAUCCAGAGGAACUGCAUUUCACUCCUGCAAAGAUAUGACACAGUUUGACCUGAACUGACUUGACUUGAUUUGGAGCGUGUGUGUGUGUGUAUUUUGGUCUCUGCCUCGUAGAUCUUUAAUAUGUGUAUAUAUAUUAUUGUCAAAGAUUAAUAAUAAAUCUCUGAACAGUGACUUUUUUAUGUUCGCAGGUCUUUAUUUUGGUUAGUAUGCUGAACAUAUUAAUUCUAAAUAAAGUUUAAAGGGAGGUUUUAUCGAUUCUUUUUUUUCUUUUGAGAGAGGUCACAAGCAAUUAUGCUGUAGGGAACGUAUAAUAUUUGCAUAAUCCACUUUUGACUCUUGUACUGUUUGUUUUGUUCCUUGCCACCCAUAUAUUUUCAUAUGUCUGUUACCAUCAUACAGACAGGUAUUUUAACAGUGACACUUUUUUUUUUUUUAACCUUUGCCUGUAUCCCCCACCACAAUGGAUUUGAAAUUAUUCAGUUCUUUUUCUUGGUUUUCUUCCAAGAUGGCACAGAGUAUGACUGCCGUGUUGCGAGCUCCCUUCACUCCUGUUUGUUUUUUGUUAAUUUUGUUUUUGUUUGUAACUACUUUUGCAAUAAAUGUUGCCAGCGGAGUUUGAGUUCCUGAACGCAGAUCCAUUGUUUGGGAACCUCAAAGAGGCCCCAUUCAUCUGGGCCGACCAGCUGACUAAACAACCCUACAUCUCAUCCAAUAAGUUUUAUUUCAUAACUUAUUACUGUACAACUGUACAUUGGAAGUAAUUGUGCAAUAAUUGUGUAUAUGUGUAUAUAUUUAGAGU